CUUUUGCUGGCGACCGGCGCACGGGUGAGUAACACGUAUCCAACCUGCCCUUUACUCGGGGAUAGCCUUUCGAAAGAAAGAUUAAUACCCGAUAGCAUAAUGAUUCCGCAUGGUUUCAUUAUUAAAGGAUUCCGGUAAAGGAUGGGGAUGCGUUCCAUUAGGUUGUUGGUGAGGUAACGGCUCACCAAGCCUACGAUGGAUAGGGGUUCUGAGAGGAAGGUCCCCCACAUUGGAACUGAGACACGGUCCAA
rnacentral:rRNA from 1 species